ensembl:lncRNA PPP1R26-AS1 PPP1R26 antisense RNA 1
GUUCUGAAACCAGCGUCUCUGGUUACAACCAAAGAGGUUGCUCAGUCACACUCCUGAAAGGCAAAAGGAGGUUGGCCAGUAAAAAAGAUGUAAACCCUAGAUGUAGUUCUUAGUGUGGAAGCCACAGGAGAACUUCCAAUGUGGCCACGGGGAUCGCCGAGGCUUUUAUGCAGGGGAGUUCAGCCUACACCCAGGAAUGCACAAGGACAGCUUGGAGCUUAGAAGCAAGUGGAGUUGGUUCAUCUCUUUCACUGGCUCAUAAUUUUGCAACGGCGGUUUCAUCUCUACCCUGACAAUACCUUUUAGUUUUCUUACCCACUGGGGUCGAGACUUAAUUGAAGACCUCAGACGGACAGCAUAACACGGAACCUGAGACCUUGAUUUGCGGGGACAGGCUUAAAGUGUAUUCUGGAGUUGGUGCCCCCACCCCAGGGGCCGGCUCAGAGGGUUCACUUUCCAGCCUAACGGCAGGGGAACCAGAGGCUGCCGACCUGGAUCUCACCUUGAUGGAGGUCUUGUCACCUUCCUCCUUGGCUGGAGAGACAGACUGUGGAUGCUCUCCUGCUGGCCACCCAAAAACAACAAACAGACAAACAAAUAUGAAUGAGGAAAACUUGAAGAGGCCCCACGUGCCAGAGGUGGGACAGCUUGAGAUUUGGUGAGGAUAAUUGCAGUGGCUCAAAACCCAUAAAGAAGUUUAAGUCCAUGAGUUCACCGUAAUCUGAAACAAAAACAAAAACAAAAACAAAUUGAUCAUCUUUGGAGGCUAACAAUCAAUUCAUUAUCUAGAGACAGACAGAGGCUCACUAGUGGCACGAUCUUGGCUGAUUGCAUCUUCCACCUCCUGGGUUCAAGAGAUUCUUGUGCCUUAGCUUCCUGAGUAGCUAAGAUUACAGGUGUGCACCACCACGCCCGGCUAAUUUUUGUAUUUUUAGUUGAGAUGAGGUUUCACCAUGUUGGCCAGGCUGGUCUCGAACUCCUGACCUCAAGUGAUCUGCCCGCCCCGGCCUCCCAAAGUGCUGGGAUUACAGGCGUGAGCUACUGUGGCCGGCCACAUUUCCCUUCUGGUGCGCGUCCUCCUGUAGCUGUGGGAUCAGGGGAGGUAGAGAUGUCUUGUAACUGACUCAAGUUUGGCUGCUUGCCGCAGGAGAAGCGAGGUGUGGUGAAAGGAAAGCAACUUUUAUUCAGAUGCUAGCAGGUGGGAGAGUGGCCAGGCUCAAGGCUCUAAGGAACCAUCUCAGCUUUUUGGACUGCGUGAAGGGCUUUAGGAAGGAGAACUCGGUGUGGGAGACAUGUGGGAGUAGGGCAGUGGUGCAGGUGUCUUGAGUAAUUGCCCAUCCGGAGGUCUAGUUGGCAUCAUCUUGACCUUGGUCUGGUGGUGGUGGACUCAUUGUUCAUAACUCCCCUAGACAGGAGGAUUCCACAGCUGGGUUCUAUGCCUGGUUUAUUUAAAAAUGAGCCCCUGGCAUUUCUAAGCAGGCACAGAAUGAGAUAAGUGAGCACUGUGGCUGGUGGGAAAGGGAGGGAAACAGGUUUAAAGUAUGUUUCAAGGCUGCAUUCUGAGACUAGGAGGGAAAGGAAGAAAAACUUUAAAAUUCUUCUCAAGGCUGAGAUAUUUGACUACAGUCUCAUGCCCAAAAUGUUUCUAUUCUACACUGAGACCUGAUAGAUAAUUUGGCUGCAUACCUGGAGUCCAGUGUGUGCACCUGCCCCUCCCAUCCCAUACUCGCAGCCAGUGGAAAAGUCUGCAAAAGGAAGCCAGCUGGGAGUGCCCACCAGAGUCAAAGUCUGGGGCAGGCUGGUGGACUCAAGAGGAGUCUUAAAUAUUGGAAAUGUCAUCACAAACCAUCUGGGAAGCCCCCUCCUCUUAAAAAGGACAUAAAGUCAAAGUGAACAGGUGUGCUCACUCCAAGCCCGUGCCCACAACCACAGUGCCCUUCACAUUCAGAGUCAUGGCCACUAGCCACAAAAUUGUGACUUACAGUUCACAAAAUUGGGACAUAUUUACAUGUUGACUAAGUUGGGAAAUAAUUUGGAUUUUCUUUAAAAGUAGUAAAAGUAAAGAAGAAAAAGUCAAAAAGGUCUGACAUCUAAGAGGGUGAAAUUUCCUUACUUUAGAUCACAAGCAAUCAGGCUGAUCCCGCCUGAGCCCUGAGCUCCCUGGGACCCAGCAGCAGCUGUGCAUUGGCACGUGGUGCCCUGUGUCUGAUCAGCUGACUCCUCAGGCAAAACCUGCACCAUUUUCACCAGAAUUGCAGAUGUCCUCAGUGUCAUUACAAAGUUCCUAAGUCAUGACCAUUCUGUCCUGUGGAACCAGGCUGGACUAAGCUCCCAUUUCUUUAAGCCAUCCUGUCCCCUGCAGGGACUUCCAAGGUGGAGCUGAUGAGCAAUAGUUAUGAGUCAUUGGAGGAGACAUCCCAGAGGCGCCAGCUCCCCUCUGCCCUAAACUGAAAUUAAGACCUGGUGCUCUGGGUGGGGCCCCUGGAAGGGGAUGUGCAACUCAGAGGGGACCUUCUCCACCUCCACCCAGGAGACCCCAGAGGGACCAUGGCAGAGCCGGAGCCCUCUUUUUUUUUGUUCGUUUUUUAUUUUAUUAUUAUUAUACUUUAAGUUUUAGCCCUCUUUUAAAAACCAAAUGAAAAUAAGCAAAAGAAGCCAAUCGUCUCUGUGAAAUGUCCAGAAGAGGGAACUCUGUAGAGACAGAGAGGAUAUUAUUGGCUGCCGGAGGCUGGGAAUGGGAAGGUGAGGGGCCUGGGGAGGUGAUGGUUAAAAGAUUCUUCUUUGUGGUGAUGAAAUUGUCUUAAAAUGGACUGUGGUGAUAGUUGUGCAACUUGGUGAAUAUAUAAGUUAUUGAAUUGUACACUUUAAAUGGGUGAAUUGUAUGGUGUGUGAAACAUAUCUCAAUAAAGCUGUUAUUUG